GGAUGGGUGGCCGAGUCUGGUUGAAGGCGGUGGUCUCGAAAACCACUGUGGAGUAACCCUCCACCGGAGGUUCGAAUCCUCUCCCAUCCGCCA
rnacentral:tRNA from 1 species